rnacentral:rRNA from 2 species
AUAACUUCGGGAAACCGGAGCUAAUACCGGAUAAUCCUUUUCCUCUCAUGAGGAAAAGCUGAAAGACGGUUUACGCUGUCACUUACAGAUGGGCCCGCGGCGCAUUAGCUAGUUGGUGAGGUAACGGCUCACCAAGGCGACGAUGCGUAGCCGACCUGAGAGGGUGAUCGGCCACACUGGGACUGAGACACGGCCCAGACUCCUACGGGAGGCAGCAGUAGGGAAUCUUCCGCAAUGGACGAAAGUCUGACGGAGCAACGCCGCGUGAGUGAUGAAGGUUUUCGGAUCGUAAAACUCUGUUGUUAGGGAAGAACAAGUACAAGAGUAACUGCUUGUACCUUGACGGUACCUAACCAGAAAGCCACGGCUAACUACGUGCCAGCAGCCGCGGUAAUACGUAGGUGGCAAGCGUUGUCCGGAAUUAUUGGGCGUAAAGCGCGCGCAGGCGGUCCUUUAAGUCUGAUGUGAAAGCCCACGGCUCAACCGUGGAGGGUCAUUGGAAACUGGGGGACUUGAGUGCAGAAGAGAAGAGUGGAAUUCCACGUGUAGCGGUGAAAUGCGUAGAGAUGUGGAGGAACACCAGUGGCGAAGGCGACUCUUUGGUCUGUAACUGACGCUGAGGCGCGAAAGCGUGGGG